GGUCAAGUUAUUAAGGGUGCAGGGCGGAUGCCUUGGCACUAGGAGCCGAUGAAGGACGUGAUAAGCUGCGAUAAGCUUCGGGGAGUUGCACGUAAACUUUGAUCCGAAGAUUUCCGAAUGAGGAAACUCACUUAGAGUAAUGUCUAAGUAUCAUUAAGUGAAUACAUAGCUUAAUGAGGGGAACUCAGGGAACUGAAACAUCUAAGUACCUGAAGGAAGAGAAAGAAAUUCGAUUCCGUAAGUAGCGGCGAGCGAACGCGGAUUAGCCCAAACCAAUAAAGUUUUCUUUAUUGGGGUUGCGGACAUAUCAUAACGAAGAGGUAUCGUAAUUGAAGAGGUUUGGAAAGACCCACCACAGAAGGUAAUAGUCCUGUAUGUUAAACGAGAAGACUUUAGAUAUGAUCCAGAGUACCACGGGACACGUGAAACCCUGUGGGAAGCAGGAGGGACCACCCUCCAAGGCUAAAUACUACCUAGUGACCGAUAGCGUAUAGUACCGUGAGGGAAAGGUGAAAAGAACCCCGGGAGGGGAGUGAAAUAGAACCUGAAACCCUGCACUUACAAGCUGUGGAAGCACAUUUCUUGUGUGACCGCGUACUUUUUGUAGAACGGGCCAACGAGUUACGUUAAGUAGCAAGGUUAAGCACUUAAGGUGCGGAGCCGUAGCGAAAGCGAGUUUUAACUGAGCGUUCAGUUACUUGACGUAGACCCGAAACCGGGCGACCUACCCAUGAGCAGGAUGAAGCGAAAGUAAAAUUUCGUGGAGGUCCGAACCCACGAGCGUUGAAAAGCUCGGGGAUGACUUGUGGGUAGCGGUGAAAUUCCAAUCGAGCCCGGAGAUAGCUGGUUCUCCCCGAAAUAGCUUUAGGGCUAGCCUCAAGGUGAGAGAUACGGAGGUAGAGCACUGAAUGUCCUAGGGGGUAUUGCACCUACCGAAGACUAUCAAACUCCGAAUGCCGUCAUCUUAUACUUGGGAGUCAGACUGUGGGUGAUAAGAUUCAUAGUCGAAAGGGCAACAGCCCAGAUCGUCAGCUAAGGUCCCUAAAUGUAAGUUAAGUGGUAAAGGAUGUGGGAUUGCACAGACAACCAGGAUGUUGGCUUAGAAGCAGCCACUCAUUCAAAGAGUGCGUAAUAGCUCACUGGUCGAGUGAUCCUGCGCCGAAGAUUUCCGGGGCUAAAACUUACUACCGAAGCUACGGCAUCAGUAAUGAUGGGUAGGGGAGCUUCCCAUACGGGUUGAAGCAUGACCGUAAGGACAUGUGGACAGUAUGGGAGUGAGAAUGUUGGCAUGAGUAGCGAGAUGUGGGUGAGAAUCCCACAGGCCGUAAACCCAAGGUUUCCAGGGGAAGGUUCGUCCGCCCUGGGUUAGUCGGGACCUAAGCUGAGGCCGAAAGGCGUAGGUGAUGGACAACAGGUUGAUAUUCCUGUACUACCGAUAACCGUUUGAGAGAAGGGAUGACACAGUAGGAUAAGCUAAGCACACUGUUGGUUAUGUGUGCCCAAGCAUUGAGGCAGUCAAAGUAGGCAAAUCCGCUUUGAUAAUGCUGGGAUGUGAUGGGGAGCGAAAUUUAGUAGCGAAGUAGCUGAUUUCACACUGUCAAGAAAAGUCUCUAUCGAGGUUAAAGGUACCCGUACCGCAAACCGACACAGGUGGGUGAGGAGAGUAUCCUAAGGCCAGCGAGAGAACUGUUGUUAAGGAACUCGGCAAAAUGACCCCGUAACUUAGGGAUAAGGGGUGCCACCAUUAGGUGGCCGCAGAGAAUAGGCCCAAGCGACUGUUUACCAAAAACAUAGGUUUCUGCUAAGUCGCAAGACGAUGUAUAGGAGCUGACGCCUGCCCGGUGCUGGAAGGUUAAGGGGAUCUGUUAGAG
rnacentral:rRNA from 1 species